AACCUAGAGCUAAAUCAUCUGAACCUAGAGCUAAAUAGGGUGAAAGCUAGCAAGAUAUUUUCUUAGUCUAUGCAUAGUCUGGGGACUUAGAUUCAUAUAAAACUUUAGAUGAGGAGAAAGAUGGUACCUUCGAUGUUUUUAGAGGAGAAACUGAUUUGAUCAAUGUUUAAUUUAUAUUGUGCAUGAAAUUCAAGAACUUUUCCCUGCUAAAAGCAACAAUAAGAUAGCAUGCAAUAAAUAGGGGGCACAAUGUGAAGUUGGUGAAAAAUGACAAGUUGAGGGUACAAGCAAUAUGCCAUGACAAAUAUAGAUGGAAACUACAUGCUUUUUUGAUUAUGCAUUGAUCUAUUGUAUAGAUUUAGUC
rnacentral:lncRNA from 1 species